UAGCUCAGUCGGUUAGAGCGCGGUGCUGAUAACACCAAGGCUGCGGGUUUGAUCCCCGU
rnacentral:tRNA from 1 species